rnacentral:lncRNA from 1 species
CUUCUAUAGAACACAACCUUCAGCCCCCGAAUCUAGUCCAGCUGAAGAUAAACUACAGUUGAGGAUUGGAGCAGCAGUGUAUUUUUAAAUAAUCACCAAAAUAACAAGAGCCUGGCCAAAUGCUCUGGACUGCGUGCUUAUUUAAAAACAAAUCUUCUUCAAGGUUUGAUAACCACCAACUCAGACAGCAUCUUCAUUGCUAAGACUCUUCAAUUCCACAGCAUGUGUUUCAAAUUUUGCCUGCAUAACUUAUUUUUUGUCCUACUUUUCUGUCAAAAACAAUGUGGAAACCCCAGGUUAUAUAAUUGAGGUCUUGGAGAGGCUGUAUACAUCCCGCCAAACAAAACAAAAUGAAAGCUAUUAUCCUGAAAUAUGUUUGAGGAAGUCUUGGCCUUUGUUGGGUUAAGAGAGCCAACAGCUUCCUUAGUGCAACCAUGUGCGAAAUCAGUCUUUACCAUAAUGUGAUCUGUAACAACGUUUGUGUAUUUUUAAGUACGGAGGAGAAGAAAUCAGUUUGGAGUGAAGUAAUAAUGUGUUCUAGAAGCUGAAAUCACUGUGCUAAUCUUCCUUGUGAUUAUCUUCCCCAUUAGACAAGUCAAGUGGAGAGCUCUCUCUGCAAGGCUUGUCUCUGCAGGGUGGAUGGGAAGAUAGUCAUUUCUUUCUUUCUCCUAUGAGGGCGAACACACAACUAAUUUAGGUUAAAGCUAAAAGGGUGCCUCUCCUUUGCAGGGACUCUUACAUGUGCUUUAGAGGAUGUCUGAAUAGGGCAGGUUUGAUCCCAUACAGCAUUGAGGAGGAAGUGGUGGAGAUGGUCAAGUUGGCAAUAUUUGGGGCCACUUUGCUGUUCUCAUGGAGUGUUGAGAGAGAGAUGAUGUUGUGUGACAGGCUUUUCCUAGGAAGAUGUGUCACACACAUGAAUCUGCUCCUUCCAGAAGGAGAACCCAUGAUGGAGCAAAGACGCAAUUUUACCAAAGUUCAAUUGUGAAUUAAUGAGUUUUUAUUGGGGAUCCUAGCAGGAGUAUGGGUAGAGGUUUCCUUAAAGGAACCGGGAAGACUAUAGUGCAGCAGAGUCACUGAAAAGCCCACCCCAACAAGGGCCGAGGACUCAGGAACUCAGAGACUUCACAGCUCUCUGUACAGAUUAGAAACAUUCCUCCAGUCUGUCUGGGAAUCUCUUCUCUGCAGUUCAGGUGGCCAGAGUCUUUUCCUCGAGCAGCUGUUGACUUUUUAAAGUUGGGGAGGAAUCUUCCAUGUUUGUAUUUUCCAGACACAACCUUUAGUUUACCUCUUAAGUCCCAUGAGUCGCCUCUCACUCCUUCCCCAAGGGAAUGCUUUAAUCCAGUGGAAACUGCCAUAGAAUCAGAGUAAGGGACUUAGGUAGGGACCUUACUAGAGUAAGGAACAUGUUCCCCUGAGUGGCAGUACGGGAAGGCUGACAUUCCUGGGCUGGCUAUUUGUAUAAAAUGUUUAAUAAGGAGCAAAUGUACAGCAUAUGAAGUCGACUGCAAUUUCAAAAAAAUUCAAGGCUAGAAAAUGUGAAGGGCAGCUUUCCCGGUAUCUAUGAAGGAAGGAUAGUCUAUCAAUGUUAACAUUUGAAUAGAAAUAGAAGAAGACCAUUCUGAAUACAGAAAGAAUUUUCCCUGAAAACAAUCUUGUAUGCAUCUUAAAAUACGGUGCUGAUGUCAACUGUAAUUUUUCAACAAGACUUCUUUUUGUGAGCUACGUGUUUAGAGGAGGGUUUAGAACCUCCUAAUGUUUUGAUUCCUGGGCUAUCUUUAGAUAUAGAUUGCCUUCGUAGUUUUACUACUAUGUUUUAGUGAGUUUUAGCUUUGGUCAAUUAACUAAUCAACUUUUGUUAUGAAUUUC